rnacentral:rRNA from 1 species
GACGGAGGAUGCAAGCGUUAUCCGGAAUGAUUGGGCGUAAAGCGUCCGCAGGUGGCAGUUCAAGUCUGCUGUCAAAGACCGGGGCUUAACUUCGGAAAGGCAGUGGAAACUGAACAGCUAGAGUAUGGUAGGGGCAGAGGGAAUUCCCGGUGGAGCGGUGAAAUGCGUAGAGAUCGGGAAGAACGCCAAGGGCGAAGGCACUCUGCUAGGCCUGAUUUCGCGACUGACACUCAGGGACGAGAGCCAGGGGAGCGAAUGGG